rnacentral:rRNA from 1 species
ACAGAGGUGGCAAGCGUUGUUCGGAAUUACUGGGCGUAAAGGGCGCGUAGGCGGCCUUGUCAGUCAGACGUGAAAUCCCCAGGCUUAACCUGGGAACUGCGUCUGAUACUACAAGGCUGGAGUUCGGGAGAGGAAUGUGGAAUUCCAGGUGUAGCGGUGAAAUGCGUAGAUAUCUGGAGGAACACCGGUGGCGAAGGCGGCAUUCUGGACCGAAACUGACGCUGAUGCGCGAAAGCCAGGGGAGCAAACGGGA